CGGGGGGUCCUAGCGUUGUUCGGAAUCAUUGGGCGUAAAGCGUGUGCAGGUGGCUCUGUAAGUUGGAUGUGAAAGCCCCGGGCUUAACUCGGGAAGUGCAUUCAAAACUACAGAACUUGAGUAUGGAAGAGGGUCGUGGAAUUCCAGGUGUAGUGGUGAAAUACGUAGAUAUCUGGAGGAACACCGGCGGCGAAGGCGGCGACCUGGUCCUAUACUGACACUCAUACACGAAAGCGUGGGGAUCAAACAGGAUUAGAUACCCUGGUAGUCCACGCCGUAAACGAUGGAUACUUGGUGUUGAAGGUAUUGACCCCUUCAGUGCCGGAGCUAACGCGUUAAGUAUCCCGCCUGGGGAGUACGGUCGCAAGAUUA
rnacentral:rRNA from 1 species